GCAGUCGAGCGAACAGAUAAGGAGCUUGCUCCUUUGACGUUAGCGGCGGACGGGUGAGUAACACGUGGAUAACCUACCUAUAAGACUGGGAUAACUUCGGGAAACCGGAGCUAAUACCGGAUAACAUAUUGAACCGCAUGGUUCAAUAGUGAAAGGCGGCUUUGCUGUCACUUAUAGAUGGAUCCGCGCCGUAUUAGCUAGUUGGUAAGGUAACGGCUUACCAAGGCAACGAUACGUAGCCGACCUGAGAGGGUGAUCGGCCACACUGGAACUGAGACACGGUCCAGACUCCUACGGGAGGCAGCAGUAGGGAAUCUUCCGCAAUGGGCGAAAGCCUGACGGAGCAACGCCGCGUGAGUGAUGAAGGUCUUCGGAUCGUAAAACUCUGUUAUCAGGGAAGAACAAAUGUGUAAGUAACUGUGCACAUCUUGACGGUACCUGAUCAGAAAGCCACGGCUAACUACGUGCCAGCAGCCGCGGUAAUACGUAGGUGGCAAGCGUUAUCCGGAAUUAUUGGGCGUAAAGCGCGCGUAGGCGGUUUUUUAAGUCUGAUGUGAAAGCCCACGGCUCAACCGUGGAGGGUCAUUGGAAACUGGAAAACUUGAGUGCAGAAGAGGAAAGUGGAAUUCCAUGUGUAGCGGUGAAAUGCGCAGAGAUAUGGAGGAACACCAGUGGCGAAGGCGACUUUCUGGUCUGUAACUGACGCUGAUGUGCGAAAGCGUGGGGAUCAAACAGGAUUAGAUACCCUGGUAGUCCACGCCGUAAACGAUGAGUGCUAAGUG
rnacentral:rRNA from 1 species